rnacentral:rRNA from 1 species
CCCCACUGCUAUCGGGAUAGGACUAAGACAUGCUAGUCGAGCGCUUCAGCCAAAAAGAGGCGCGGCAUACAGCUCAGUAACACGUGGCUAAUCUGCCCUUAGGAUAGGAACAACCCCGGGAAACUGGGGCUAAUUCCCAAUAGGCGAAGAACUCUGGAAUGAGUCUUCACCCGAAAAGAGCUUACGUUAUGCGCGUAGGUCUCGCCUAAGGAUGAGGCCGCGACCGAUCAAGUUGUUGGUGAGG